rnacentral:rRNA from 1 species
CACGCAGGCGGGAAAUUAAGUGUUCUGUGAAAUCCCUCGGCUUAACCGAGGAACUGCGGGGCAAACUGAUUUUCUUGAGGCAAGUAGGGGUGCAUGGAACUCCAGGUGGAGCGGUGAAAUGCGUAGAUAUCUGGAGGAACGCCAGCGGUGAAAACGGUGCACUGGGCUUGUCCUGACGCUGAGGUGCGAAAGCGUGGGUAGCGAACAGGAUUAGAUACCCUGGUAGUCC